rnacentral:rRNA from 1 species
UACGAAGGGGGCUAGCGUUGCUCGGAAUCACUGGGCGUAAAGGGUGCGUAGGCGGGUCUUUAAGGCAGGGGUGAAAUCCUGGAGCUCAACUCCAGAACUGCCUUUGAUACUGGCGAUCUUGAGUCCGGAAGAGGUGAGUGGAACUCCUAGUGUAGAGGUGGAAUUCGUAGAUAUUAGGAAGAACACCAGUGGCGAAGGCGGCUCACUGGUCCGGUACUGACGCUGAGGUGCGAAAGCGUGGGGAGCAAACAGG